GAGUGUAUAGCUCAGUGAUAGAGCACAUGCUUAACAAGCACAAGGUCCUGGGUUCAACCCCCAGUACCUCCA
rnacentral:tRNA from 1 species